CUUCAUCCCAUUUACAGAUGAGCCACAGAGAGGUUAUAACUUGCUCAACUCUCUCAAGGGGCCAGAACUUUGGACAAGCUUGUUAAUAUCUCUAUUCCUUAGCUCCCCCAGAAAAGUGGGGAUAUAAGUUACAGUACCUACCUCAUAGGGUUGUUAUGUGGAUUCAAUGCCAUAAUCUAUAUAAAGCCCUUAGCAAAGGGUCUAGAGAACAUAGUAAAUGCUGGAUACUUAAACACAAAGUACCUUACUUAAUUGGAAUAAUAGAGAUAUCAUUUGCUAUAGUUAUCAAAAAUGCAACUGGAGAUUUAAGGAAAUGGAUAGGUGAGUAACACAGGAAAAGUCUGGGGUAGGCAGUGUGUGAAAAGUACCCUGAACUUCGGGACAGGAGGACAGGUCCAAUGACCCUGUUCGCACAAGAGGCCUUAUAGGCCUUCAGGGAGAAAUGGUGAGAAGGGACUUUGAGGGUUGACAGUUGGCCUCAAAACUCCAGGCUUUUCUUUUCUGAACUAAGGGAGACCAUAAACAAGCCCUCGCCUCUAGGAAGAAGUCUUCAGGAGCCCUAGAUUGGAAAGCUGAGGUACCUGGACAGGGCCCGCACCUGGCCUGGGGCUGCGAUGGCUGGGGCGGCCUGUGAGUGCUGUCUGUCCCUGCCUCCCGCUGUGGAAAGCCUGGGCAGCGGCAGGCUCCAGCCAGGUUCCAGACUCCUACCGUGACCACGCUCCGGCUCGCCAGCUCCAAACCACUGCUCUCCUGGCACUGUUUCUGUGGCUUUGUCCAUCAUCUCCCCGGCUCUCUUCUCUGAUUUGCUAAACUCAGCCCUCGUCCUUCUCCACUCUGUUUCUGAUUGUGCCCACUGAUUCCAGACAAGACACAUCACUCUAUGUGCCCUCAGUGGAGGGACCUUGAGGGCAAAGACGGUUGGCCAGGGAUGAGUGAAGGGAGAGGUAAGAGGUGGCAAUUACUCACCAGUGGCUCUAGACUCCUGGCCAAGUCUUCAGGACUCAUCCCAAGUUCUUCAUCUGAGGGAGUGUGAACUACAUUUUGGGAACCUAGUAAGAGUUGUGAUUAGGAGCAGGAAAAUAACAAGAACCCUAAUCCAGGGUGAGGGACAAGAACAGAAAACAUUGAAGGGAACUGGUUGUCCAGCCAAGCCACAACCCCUUUCCUCCUCUCUCACCCCUUAAAAAGUGGCUGGGGCUGUGAUCUUGAGCCCAGGUACUCAUUUCAGGCUGCAUGCUUUGCCUCCGAAUGGACUCUUCAUGUCUCCUAAGACCUUCAGAGAGACGGCUGGUUUGAAAGGUCCUGCUAAUAAAGCUUCUAAGAAGAGACUGGAAUUGGCCUUCCGUCAGUCUUGAAGGGUGAUUCACCCCCACUGUGCGCUCAGAUCCUAUAGGAUAUAACAUGAUAAUGGAAGCUUCGUGUCUCCUAUUGCUGUUAGGAAAAAACCAGACUGAUAUUUUUAUGACAUUUUUGUUUUAAUGUAUGCUGUAUGUGAAAAUAACCACUAAACAAGUCAAGUCGUCUGCUUCCUGUUGCCAAACACCUAUGACAGAGGAGCUUCAAGAAGAAGCACAGGACAUAAAACCGUUUGGAGAACCACUAAUUUGGUGGCUGGGAUACGAAGCUGGCAAACCCCUCCCUGCCCAGGCUGCUAAGACUGACCCACUGGGGACCUCCUUGCUUAGCCAUGAUGCUGCCGAGAAGGGAGGUGUCUCUCCUUGGCCUCCGUCCCCAGGUGGCCCUCACCUUUCUGACCCUCCCAUCCCUGUCCCGGGACCGAUACCGAGUGCCCUGCCGUGCUGCCCUCUUGGGAUCUGUGGGCUGCUCGGCCGUCACUGGCCUGCUUGCUUAACCCAACUCCCACGGAUGGUGGAUGGCGUUCCAAGCCCUCACUAGGGAAGGGAGCGCGCAUGAGUCACGUCCUGUGGUCACUGUCAUCCUCCCCUCCCUCUCUGAGGCCUCUCCUCCUUCAGCGCAUUUAUUUAACUGUGAAGAGAGCCUCUUCUGACCCUCCAUCUGGAGGCCCUUCUCCUCCGUAACUCCACACCCACCCCGCCCUCAGCCCUUGCUCCCAGUGUCCUCCCCACAGAGCCUGUCACGAAGCCGGGGAGCUCUCGGGGCAGGCGAGGACAUUUCUGUUUACACUUCAUUACAACAUGCAGUUGAGGUGAACCUAUCGAUGAAAUAAGGUGUGAGCUUGUUUUUGUUUAUUGUGAGUUUAAAGGGCAGGGAGGAGAAAACCACUCUAAGGGAAGAAAAAGGGAACUAGCAUUUAUUGAGCCCCCCACACAGAAAUAGCUUCAUCCUCCCCAUGGUCUUGGGAGAUGCCAUUUAUCCCAUUGUACAGAGGAAGAAAUGGAGAGUAAAUAACUUGCACAACGUACUGUUAGCCCAGGUAGCUAGAUAUUAAUAAAAGAGAAGGGAGCAAAAGUGUAUGAACUUAACUAGGUUGGAAGCUACAGUGUCACACAUUCCAGGAGACAGCCAGCAUUGCCCUGCCAACGGGAUCAACAACCCUCAGUCCCAGCCCUGGGGGGAGGGUCAGAACUGGCUCUGUAGCCGGAUUAUGGCAGGGGCGGGGGGAAGAGCCCCGAAAAUUCCUCAAUUCCUCUGCUGAAGGGAAGAUGUGGCCAUAACAGGGAAGUGUCUCAUCUGGGAAAAGGACUGAAUGAUUAGGGGGAGGGCCAAGCCCAAGCCUGGGAAGGACUGGGAAGAGAUUGGUCAGUUUGAAAGCCCAAGAUAAUAAAAUCAAAGCUGAACAAAGGCCCCUCUCUCUGUCUUUCUCUCUCUGUCUCUCUCACAUGUUGCAUGUUCGUUUGUUCCUGAGUCCUCCCUCUGUAGCAGCCACAUGAACCUAGCAGGCCCUGCAGCUGGGAAUACAGACUAAACUAGCCAGAUGAGGACAGAAACUGAACUGGACUGAGCUGUGGCAUGGACUGAACUGAUGGCACAGAAUUUCUGGACCCCGGCCCCUCUUCUGGGCCUGAUGAAGAUGAGGCUGGACUUCUUCCACAGCGGGAGGGAGGGAGGGAGGGAGAUGAGACACUGGGGACCUGUGGGUGGUCUUUUAUUUCUACCCCAACAGACCACUACACCUCACCUUCUCAUGCUUCGGUGUCCAGAAAUGCUUUCCUUGAGACUCUGUGGAAGGGCCCCAUUUCCACCAGCAAAGCACCAGGGUUGGUAAACACAGAAACCAGUGGCUAUUUGCUCUCAUUUUGUAUAAAAACUAAUGAACAUUUCCUGGAUGAAUAAAUCCUUAAAAAAAGAUAGUACCCAUGAAGUGUGCCCCGGGCUGUGUAACCUGGGGCAAAUCAGUGAAGUUCUCUGGGCCAUAGUUGCAGCAUCUACAAAAUCAGGGCUCUGCCAUCCAAGGGCUUCUGACCCAGUCAUUAAUUACCCUUGUUCUCAGAGAAGGACCUCCUUCUGCCCAGCCCAAAUCUCUCCAGAACCUAAGUCACACUACCAGGAAAUAAAUGAUUAGCACUCCCGGAGUAUUAAUCAGGGGCACGGCAGGACACACCACCCUUUUCCCAGCGGGGCAGCAGUUGUACAGCUGGCCGAGCUCUAGCUGCUAAAUCAGGACCCGUGAGUGGGCAGAACGAUGGGAAAACACAGGGAGCGCCGAGGGGCUCCUACAUCACCUAGAUUUCUACGUCACUACUGCUCCACACCUUCUGCCUCAGCAAUGGCAGCCAGCGUGCCUUAAGCCUACCGUCCCUCCCUCCGCAGCCUGCAUACCCUCUCACCCUUGACCCAUGAUACUUUAUCCCUGGGCAGGGCUAGCCAAGACAGACAGACCAGACCGGCACAGGCUCCCUGCACCCUGGGAGAGCACCGCUCAUGUGGGGGACAAAAUAAAAUCU